GUACAGUCAAAAUGUUUUAGACAUUUGCAAGAAGCUGGAAAGAUGUGCUGAAUUCCUGAAGAAUUUCAAAUGUUCCCAGUGAAUUUGAAAUCUCUUCUGACAUGUUUGCUAAUAUUAAUUAAAUGAUUCAGAAGUAUCCAUGGGGACUAUCUGCCCCCAGAAUAUUGAAAGAAAUACUUGAACAAGGAAACUCUUUCUGUCAUCAUCUGCUCAAAAUGUGACAGAAUGAGCCAGUCCUCAAAGACAGCUCCUGAAGUCCAUUAGGAUUGACACAAUGGGAGUCCCUUGUGACUAAGAGAAAGAAAUUGGGUAUGGACAUGAUUCUGUGUCAUAUAUGGCCACAUAUCCUUCCAGGAAACCUAGCCAAAGUGCUUUUGAGUUCUCUGUUAAAUGCACGUAUUUGGCUUCUAUUCAAGGUUAGCUACGUAUAAUGCGAUUAUUUGUGUUCCAAGCUCUUCACUAAUAUUUAAGAUCUUAUAUCCACAGGACUUAGGGGACAAAGUUGUUAUCAUUUGUCUAAGUCUUCUGUAUGUGAUAUGAAAGCUAUUGCUUGUAUUGUCACAACAUGGAGCAACAGUUUAUGAAUACUCUUCCUCAGAAGAAACUGGUCUGAUGAUCAUUGACUGUAUUGCACUUUGUCAAAGACCCCACCACUUUAACAGCAAUCCCCAUCUGGUGCAUGGAGGACCUUCCGAAGCACUUACUCCGCUACAGGCCCACUUCUGUCAGGUCUAAUUUUUCAAAUAUCAAAGUAAAGAACUAUGCAAAUACAUACUUGUGUUCAAGCUUACUUUAUACUUUCAUAAUUUGUGCAUUUAUAUAGUUUGCUUUAGAACUUUGGGACUUGUUCCUACACUCUGCCAUAGGCCCAUUUGCAACUUUGAACCAUUUUUGUAGAUAAAAGUAUGCUCUUCUAAGUCAGCAAGGAAGGAAUGUUGUUAUCUUACACUAAACAGUAGGAGGUGAGCCUGUGUUUUUGAGAAACUCUAGCUCCUACAGAGUAAAAAAACUUGUUUUAGAUAGCCUGCUUCCAGGUGACUGCACUUACCAUUAAAACUUGCUUUAACCAGUCACAGGGACCCCAGCACUCCUGCUCACCCCUUUUUCCUUUGUGGUUUCUUUUAGUUUGUCACCAAUUAUGCAACCUGAAUUUCCAGAAAAGCCUGACUGUCUUAAAUCAGGAAUUAACAAUCAUGUGUAAGCACAUUUUCAGAAAACAUGCUGUAGAGUUUUGAUUUUUCAAAACAA